UCUCUUUUUCUAUCAUCCAUAUUCUCCUAACAACUUUCGAUAAUUUUCCGGUAUACACACACAAGUGUUGUAGGAUUCCAUGAUCAUAUAAGCGUAAAUUAUUAUCUCAAUUUUGUGAUCAUCGCUUAAGGUACGGAUAGAAUCCCUUCCUUCAAUACAUGUCAUUUGGCCUUCGGGCAACUGAUUCCUGAUUUUUAAAUUAUGCAAUAAGUUUAUAUUAUAAAAAUGCUACAAGUUUAUAAAGUUUCUGUGUUUAUAAAUGUACAAGUUUAAGAUUAUGUACAUGUAUUAUACCCAUCAUUGUGGCAUAAAAUGAUGUGGCACCAUCCGUGACGGUGAGUUGAGUUCACGGCGUCUCUUCUGUUUCAGUCUACGGACUUCUGUUCAGAGGCGUAUGGAUCGAUCCUAGGAAAAAGUAAAUAAAGUCUGAUAUCUGGUGAAUGGUUGGUGUGAUUUGCCCACACUCCAUUCAUGUCUGGAUACAUGGGCUAGCUACCCUGUAUCAACCUCUGUAAUAAAAUGAACCUUCUGGGCUUCGGGUAAAUCUCUAUAUCAUAUUCUGAUAAUAUUUGUUAUACUUAUUUAAUAUAUUUUGAAUUAUGGAAACUUAAGUUUUUGCUAAAACAAAGGAUUUUUGAAGAAUUUAGCCAUUUUCUCACAUAAAAUAAGCGUUUUUGCUUUCCUCUAUCCGCACACCGGGCAAAACUUUCAAAUUUUGCUCAGACGUACGUUUUUGUGUUUUCCUUCUUUACGUCAGGUGAUCAAGAUUUCUGGGACAGGAUAAGGAAGAGUGUUCGAGUGUUUGGAAAAGACCGUAGAAAUAAAUGUACUGGAUUAGAUAUCCUAUUUCCAUCAAGUUGUAAAGCCUUAAUUAUUAAUGGAAUUAUGUUUUUGAUCUGACUCUGUAAAAGUGACACGUCAGCCCGUUUCGGGUUGGGGUGUUAUAGUUUUGGUAUCAGAGCAAAGGCUCUUUC
rnacentral:lncRNA from 1 species